CGUGUAACAAACGGCUCGUCUGAAAUGCCUGAGUGUACCCUGCUUUGCGGCGUAUUCGGUGUGAUACAUCUUCACCGGAGUUUUGACUCUCGGGUCGGCGCUUUGCAUUGCAUUUGGCUCUAUGCUUCCAACCGUCUCUAACAAAGACAAUACUCUGACAAUUUGACCUCAAAUCGGGUGGGACUACCCGCUGAACUUAA
rnacentral:misc_RNA from 1 species